rfam:Schistosoma mattheei strain Denwood, Zambia genome assembly, scaffold: SMTD_scaffold0005261
AUCCAGCUGACGAGUCCAAAACAGGAUGAAAUGCCCGUCUUAGAU